rnacentral:rRNA from 1 species
UACGGAGGGUGCGAGCGUUGUCCGGAAUCAUUGGGCGUAAAGGGCGCGUAGGUGGCCCCUCAAGCGUGCGGUGAAAGUCAGGGGCUCAACCCCUGAUCGGCCGUGCGAACUGGGGAGCUUGAGCACUGUAGAGGCAGGCGGAAUUCCGGGUGUAGCGGUGAAAUGCGUAGAGAUGUGGAGGAACACCAGUGGCGAAGGCGACUCUUUGGCCUGUAACUGACGCUGAGGCGCGAAAGCGUGGGGAGCAAACAGG